rnacentral:rRNA from 1 species
CUACGGGAGGCUGCAGUGGGGAAUUUUGGACAAUGGACGAAAGUCUGAUCCAGCGACGCCGCGUGGGGGAAGAAGUCUUUCGGGAUGUAAACCUCUAAGAUUAUCGAAUAAAAGACAUGGGGGACCAUGUAUUGAAGGUAGAUAAAGAAAAGCCCCGGCUAACUACGUGCCUGCAGCCGCGGUAAGACGUAGGGGGCAAGCGUUGCCCGGAAUCACUGGGCGUAAAGGGGACGUAGGCGGAAUAAUAAGUCAGGUGUGUAAUUUCACAGCUCAACUGUGGAACUGCGCUUGAAACUGUUUUCUUGAGGAGACUAGAGGAAGACGGAAGUACAAGAGUAGGGGUGAAAUCCGUAGAUAUUGGUAAGAAGGCCAGUGGAGAAGUCGGUUUUCUGGAGUAAUCCUGACGCUGAGGUCCGAAAGCUAGGGGAGCAAACCGGAUUAGAUACCCCCGUAGUC